UUCAUGAGUCUUCCCAAAUAUACCAUGCUGUUAUCUUUAUCUUUACAGACCUGCUCUUUUUGGUUUCUAUCAUUGGCAAAGCAGACAUGUUUAUUUACAUGUUUCUAAAGAUGAUCCUGUUUCCUGCAUGUCAUAAAGAACUUCUGAAGCUUGUGUAGAAAAUCUGCUGAAAAAAGUUCCCCUAAGGGCUACAGCUCAACCAUAUGCUGCAGUCAGAAAUAGGUCUGAUUAUUCAUUGCCCUGGAAGAAAUUAGGGCUGAUGAUGCUUCAUCUGCAUGCACACAUUCCUCACAAUUCAUGGAUAAUCCUGAAGAUUUCAUGAGGGAUAUGAAGCAAAUCUUUACCAAGUGUUCUGUGGAUAAAGUCAAUCCUAGAAAUUAAAAAUCCAGAGAUAAGAGAGGUUAGAAACUAAGGUAAAAUAAGCAAGCAAAAUGUGACGUAAGCCUGAUGUUUUGGAGAGAAUGUUUGUCCCUUCUUCUAAAGUACAGCUGCUGCUUUCUCUUAGAGACUUACUUCCUCUGAAACUGAGAAUAAGGGAUAUGGAAGCAAAGAACUUCGGAGAUACUUGUGUUCAUCUUGCUGCAACAAUUAUCUUUGGGUGAGUUGGUUUAAAUAACACAUGGGUCUUGUAGUUCUGGCAAAGAUAUACUGUUGCCUUAUGAUUGUGCUAGUGUUGAUUAUAAUUGGAUUGCCAAUUGCUGUCAGGUUGCACUGAGUGCUUCACUAAACAAAUUUCUGCUAAUCUGUGCUUGGCUCAGGCUCAAAAUUUCUGUUAGUUUCUUUUUUCCUGCAGUUAUAGUUGUCCCAUAGAGGGUUUCUCAUGUAAUGCAUACAGAGUUUGUCCAGCAUGAACUUCUUCCUCUUCCUGGAGUUCUUAAAUACAUCACCUUUGGAAUCACAGCUCUCUCGCUGUUUCUUUUUUUUUGUUUAUUUUUUAUUUUUUUUAACCCAGAACAUUCUUCAUACUCAGGCUGUAUUUUCAUUUUGUCCAUAACAAUUGUCAGAAUUUAUUUUUGUGACAUCUUGACCUAUGAUUUCUUUUAUAAGAUUUACCACAUUGUUGCACUGCUUCUCUUGCUGCUUAUUACUCAUCAGUAAAUGGUAAUGGAUCAUGUGACAUUUCCUGCAAGGCUUUCUCUAAUGCUGCAUCUUGUUCUAAAAUUGAAUGAGAAAUACUCUCCUAGGGAACACAUUUUUGUCCUUAUUUUUAUUCUACAGGCCAUAUCUAGGAGCAUACGUCAUCUUAUGAUCUUAGCUUAGAAUGUAGCUGUGAACUAUAUAGUCUCAUAAAUAGAAAGCAAACUAGAAAAGGAUAACAUAGCCUAAAGCUAGAAGAGGAAAGCAAAACAUCAAAGCAUCACUGUGGAUCACAGAAUGACCCGGGCUGGAAGGGACCUCAAGGAUCAUGAAGUUCCAACUCCCCUGCCUGGCAGGGCCCCUAAACUUCCACAUUUAUGAGAUCAGGUUGCCCAGGAUUCCAUCUAACCUGGCC